rnacentral:rRNA from 1 species
AGUGAACGCUGGCGGUAGGCCUAACACAUGCAAGUCGAACGGCAGCACAGUAAGAGCUUGCUCUUACGGGUGGCGAGUGGCGGACGGGUGAGGAAUACAUCGGAAUCUACUUUUUCGUGGGGGAUAACGUGGGAAACUUACGCUAAUACCGCAUACGACCUACGGGUGAAAGCAGGGGAUCUUCGGACCUUGCGCGAUUGAAUGAGCCGAUGUCGGAUUAGCUAGUUGGCGGGGUAAAGGCCCACCAAGGCGACGAUCCGUAGCUGGUCUGAGAGGAUGAUCAGCCACACUGGAACUGAGACACGGUCCAGACUCCUACGGGAGGCAGCAGUGGGGAAUAUUGGACAAUGGGCGCAAGCCUGAUCCAGCCAUACCGCGUGGGUGAAGAAGGCCUUCGGGUUGUAAAGCCCUUUUGUUGGGAAGGAAAAGCAGCAGGUUAAUACCCCGCUGUUCUGACGGUACCCAAAGAAUAAGCACCGGCUAACUUCGUG